GGGCGCUUAGCUCAGUUGGUAGAGCAUUACCUUCACACGGUAGGGGUCACAGGUUCGAGCCCUGUAGCGCCCA
rnacentral:tRNA from 2 species